GAUGAACGCUGGCGGCGUGCUUAACACAUGCAAGUCGAACGGAAAGGCUCCUGCUUGCAGGGGUACUCGAGUGGCGAACGGGUGAGUAACACGUGGGUGAUCUGCCCUGCACUUCGGGAUAAGCCUGGGAAACUGGGUCUAAUACCGGAUAGGACGAUGGUUUGGAUGCCAUUGUGGAAAGUUUUUUCGGUGUGGGAUGAGCUCGCGGCCUAUCAGCUUGUUGGUGGGGUAAUGGCCUACCAAGGCGUCGACUGGUAGCCGGCCUGAGAGGGUGUACGGCCACAUUGGGACUGAGAUACGGCCCAGACUCCUACGGGAGGCAGCAGUGGGGAAUAUUGCACAAUGGGCGCAAGCCUGAUGCAGCGACGCCGCGUGGGGGAUGACGGCCUUCGGGUUGUAAACUCCUUUCGCUAGGGACGAAGCGCAAGUGACGGUACCUGGAGAAGAAGCACCGGCUAACUACGUG
rnacentral:rRNA from 1 species